rnacentral:snRNA from 1 species
GUGCUUGCUUUGACAGCACAUAUACAAAAAUUGGAAUGAUACAGAGAAGAUUAACAUGGCCCCUGUGCAAGGAUGACAUACAAAUUCAUGAAGCGUUCCAUAUUUUU